AUUGAACGCUGGCGGCAUGCCUUACACAUGCAAGUCGAACGGCAGCACGGGAGCAAUCCUGGUGGCGAGUGGCGAACGGGUGAGUAAUAUAUCGGAACGUGCCCAGUCGUGGGGGAUAACGUAGCGAAAGCUACGCUAAUACCGCAUACGAUCUGUGGAUGAAAGCGGGGGAUCGCAAGACCUCGCGCGAUUGGAGCGGCCGAUAUCAGAUUAGGUAGUUGGUGAGGUAAAGGCUCACCAAGCCGACGAUCUGUAGCUGGUCUGAGAGGACGACCAGCCACACUGGGACUGAGACACGGCCCAGACUCCUACGGGAGGCAGCAGUGGGGAAUUUUGGACAAUGGGCGCAAGCCUGAUCCAGCAAUGCCGCGUGCAGGAUGAAGGCCUUCGGGUUGUAAACUGCUUUGUACGGAACGAAACGGUGAGCUCUAAUACAGUUUGCUAAUGACGGUACCGUAAGAAUAAGCACCGGCUAACUACGUG
rnacentral:rRNA from 1 species